rnacentral:rRNA from 1 species
GACGAACGCUGGCGGCGUGCUUAACACACGCAAGUCGAACGAUGAAGCCGGAGCUUGCUCCGGCGGAUUAGUGGCGAACGGGUGAGUAACACGUGAGUAACCUGCCCUUGACUCUGGGAUAAGCGUUGGAAACGACGUCUAAUACCGGAUACGAACCGCGACGGCAUCGUCUGCGGUUGGAAAGAAUUUCGGUCAAGGAUGGACUCGCGGCCUAUCAGCUUGUUGGUGAGGUAAUGGCUCACCAAGGCGACGACGGGUAGCCGGCCUGAGAGGGUGACCGGCCACACUGGAACUGAGACACGGUCCAGACUCCUACGGGAGGCAGCAGUGGGGAAUAUUGCACAAUGGGCGAAAGCCUGAUGCAGCAACGCCGCGUGAGGGAUGACGGCCUUCGGGUUGUAAACCUCUUUUAGCAGGGAAGAAGCGAAAGUGACGGUACCUGCAGAAAAAGCACCGGCUAACUACGUGCCAGCAGCCGCAGUAA